UACAUGUGGGGCAAGCGUUGUUCGGAAUUACUGGGCAUAAAGGGUGUGUAGGCGGACUUUUAAGUCAGCGGUGAAAUCUCCGGGCUCAACCCGGAAACUGCCAUUGAUACUAUUGGUCUUGAAUGUUGUUGAGGUGGGCGGAACGGGUCAUGUAGCGGUGAAAUGCAUAGAUAUGACCCGGAACACCGAUUGCGAAGGCAGCCCACUAAGCAACGAUUGACGCUGAGGCACGAAAGCGUGGGGAUCAAACAGG
rnacentral:rRNA from 1 species